rnacentral:rRNA from 1 species
GUGUCAGCCGCCGCGGUAAUACAGAGGGUGCGAGCGUUAAUCGGAUUUACUGGGCGUAAAGCGCGCGUAGGUGGUUAAUUAAGUCAAAUGUGAAAUCCCCGAGCUUAACUUGGGAAUUGCAUUCGAUACUGGUUAGCUAGAGUAUGGGAGAGGAUGGUAGAAUUCCAGGUGUAGCGGUGAAAUGCGUAGAGAUCUGGAGGAAUACCGAUGGCGAAGGCAGCCAUCUGGCCUAACACUGACGCUGAGGUACGAAAGCAUGGGGAGCAAACAGGAUUAGAAACCCUGGUAGUCC